rnacentral:rRNA from 1 species
ACGCUCGACACCUACGGGGGCAGCAGUCGGGAAUAUUGCGCAAUGGAGGAAACUCUGACGCAGUGACGCCGCGUGCAGGAAGAAGGUUUUCGGAUUGUAAACUGCUUUAGACAGGGAAGAAAGAAAUGACAGUACCUGUAGAAUAAGCUCCGGCUAACUACGUGCCAGCACGCCGANAAUAUCAGNGGCGNGNGACGAG